GACGAACGCUGGCGGCGUGCUUAACACAUGCAAGUCGAGCGGUAAGGCCCUUUCGGGGGUACACGAGCGGCGAACGGGUGAGGAAUACAUGGGUAACCUACCCUCGAGUGGGGAAUAACUAGCCGAAAGGUUAGCUAAUACCGCGUACGCUCCUUGGACUUCGGUUCAGGGAGGAAAGCGAUACCGUGGGUAUCGCGCUCUUGGUUGGGCUCAUGUCCUAUCAGCUUGUUGGUGAGGUAACGGCUCACCAAGGCUUCGACGGGUAGCUGGUCUGAGAGGACGAUCAGCCACACUGGCACUGCGACACGGGCCAGACUCCUACGGGAGGCAGCAGUAAGGAAUAUUGCGCAAUGGGCGAAAGCCUGACGCAGCGACGCCGCGUGGGGA
rnacentral:rRNA from 1 species